CUGGAGAAUGGUGUAUCAGGAAGACGCCGUCAGCGUCGGGGAAGAUGGUGCAAAUCCAUCACGGUGCCGCCACUGUAAGCGGGGAGUGACUCUGCAGUGAGCCACUGACUUGGUUCGUGAACUGUGAUCAUGUCACGUAUUUCCUAGGACCGAGGUCCGCGAGAUACGCUUCACGAGAAACGGUUGACGUUCCGGUUGGGAAGGCGCAGAGACACGAUGAUCCGCAAGUCAGGAGACCCAACUGACGGCUGUUACCACU
rnacentral:ncRNA from 2 species